rnacentral:rRNA from 1 species
AUACGUAGGGUGCGAGCGUUGUCCGGAAUUACUGGGCGUAAAAAGCUCGUAGGUGGUUUGUCGCGUCGUCUGUGAAAUUCCGGGGCUUAACUCCGGGCGUGCAGGCGAUACGGGCAUAACUUGAGUACUGUAGGGGAGACUGGAAUUCCUGGUGUAGCGGUGAAAUGCGCAGAUAUCAGGAGGAACACCGGUGGCGAAGGCGGGUCUCUGGGCAGUAACUGACGCUGAGGAGCGAAAGCAUGGGUAGCGAACAGGAUUAGAUACCCUGGUAGUCCAUGCCGUAAACGGUGGGCGCUAGGUGUAGGGGUCUUCCACGACUUCUGUGCCGUAGCUAACGCAUUAAGCGCCCCGCCUGGGGAGUACGGCCGCAAGGCUAAAACUUAAAGGAAUUGACGGGG